rnacentral:rRNA from 1 species
UACGUAGGGUGCAAGCGUUGUCCGGAAUCAUUGGGCGUAAAGCGCGCGUAGGUGGCCAUUUAAGUCCGCUGUGAAAGUCAAAGGCUCAACCUUUGAAAGCCGGUGGAUACUGGAUGGCUAGAGUACGGAAGAGGCGAGUGGAAUUCCUGGUGUAGCGGUGAAAUGCGCAGAUAUCAGGAGGAACACCAAUGGCGAAGGCAGCUCGCUGGGACGGUACUGACGCUGAGGCGCGAAAGCGUGGGGAGCAAACAGG